rnacentral:rRNA from 1 species
CAGUAGCCGCGGGAAUACGAAGGGGGCUAGCGUUGCUCGGAAUGACUGGGCGUAAAGGGCGCGUAGGCGGUUCACGCAGUCAGAUGUGAAAUUCCUGGGCUUAACCUGGGGGCUGCAUUUGAGACGCGUGGGCUUGAGUGUGAAAGAGGGUCGUGGAAUUCCCAGUGUAGAGGUGAAAUUCGUAGAUAUUGGGAAGAACACCGGUGGCGAAGGCGGCGACCUGGUUCACAACUGACGCUGAGGCGCGAAAGCGUGGGGAGCAAACAGGAUUAGAUACCCCUGUAGUCCCUGUCUCUUAUAU